rnacentral:rRNA from 1 species
CAGUAGCCGCGGGAAUACGAAGGGGGCUAGCGUUGUUCGGAAUUACUGGGCGUAAAGCGCACGUAGGCGGACAUUUAAGUCAGGGGUGAAAUCCCGGGGCUCAACCCCGGAACUGCCUUUGAUACUGGGUGUCUAGAGUAUGGUAGAGGUGAGUGGAAUUCCGAGUGUAGAGGUGAAAUUCGUAGAUAUUCGGAGGAACACCAGUGGCGAAGGCGGCUCACUGGACCAUUACUGACGCUGAGGUGCGAAAGCGUGGGGAGCAAACAGGAUUAGAUACCCCAGUAGUCCCUGUCUCUUAUAC